UGGGGACUUUUCACGGUUUCCGCGCCGCAGCUAACGCAUUAAGUGCCCCGCCUGGGGAGUACGGUCGCAAGACUAAAACUCAAAGAAAUUGACGGGGGCCCGCACAAGCAGCGGAGCAUGUGGCUUAAUUCGAUGCAACGCGAAAAACCUUACCUAGAUUUGACAUGCUGGGAAAAGCCACAGAGAUGUGGUGUCCUUCGGGGCCCAGCACAGGUGGUGCAUGGCUGUCGUCAGCUCGUGUCGUGAGAUGUUGGGUUAAGUCCCGCAACGAGCGCAACCCUUGUUCUAUGUUGCCAGCACGUUAUGGUGGGGACUCGUAGAAGACUGCCGGGGUCAACUCGGAGGAAGGUGGGGACGACGUCAAGUCAUCAUGCCCCUUACGUCUAGGGCUGCACACAUGCUACAAUGGGCGGUACAGAGGGCUGCUAAACCGCGAGGUGGAGCCAAUCCCUAAAACCGCUCUCAGUUCAGAUUGCAGGCUGCAACUCGCCUGCAUGAAGUUGGAGUUGCUAGUAAUCCCGGAUCAGCACUGCCGGGGUGAAUACGUUCCCGGGCCUUGUACACACCGCCC
rnacentral:rRNA from 1 species